rnacentral:lncRNA from 1 species
UUGGCGACAGCACAGCACAGCAGCGGCAGGCGCCACCGCCCGAGCUAGUGCUGCAGUGCUUGACGCCGCUGCCGAUGCAGCAGCUGGCAGCGGUGCACGGGCGGCAGGACAUGGUGGAUUACCUGGACGCAGUAGCUAAGGGUUUGAGAGGGGAAAUGAUGAUUGAGUGCGGCAGUGCCGGCGCCGGCGGAAGCGGCAUGGGGGUGCAAGGGCCUGCCAGCAUGGAGGGCGGCGCGUCGCACGCUAGCGCCACGGCGGAUAGGUUGAGGGCGAAGUGGGUUGGCGCCGUGCGGCCGCGGUACCCGUGGCUGUUGUCUCAAGGCCAGGCACAGGCGGGGCUGCAUGACCUGAUGGUCGCAGAGGCGGCGGCUGCAGCGGCAGCUACUGCUACGGGCGAGCCCUCAGUAGCCUGCGGCGGCGGUGGCAGCAGCGGGAGCAGUAGCAGGAGCAGUAGUGGGCAGGGCAGCAGCAGCGAUGGGCCGGUAUUUGAGCACAAGCUGUGCUACAACCCGCGCUGCUGCUCGCUGGACGGCCCCAGCGCGUUGGUUGCGCCCCGCGGCGGCAAGACGUGUGUGCGGUGCCGUGCUGCCACGUAUUGCUGCGGCGCUUGCCAGCUUGUGGACUGGCGUGAGCGGCACUCUGGCACCUGCAGUGGAGCCGCCGCGGCGGCGGCAGGGUCAGCAGGGACAGCGAAGGCAGCGCUGAAGAAGGCAUGAAUGCUACGGGCGAGCCCUCAGUAGCCUGCGGCGGCGGUGGCAGCAGCGGGAGCAGUAGCAGGAGCAGUAGUGGGCAGGGCAGCAGCAGCGAUGGGCCGGUAUUUGAGCACAAGCUGUGCUACAACCCGCGCUGCUGCUCGCUGGACGGCCCCAGCGCGUUGGUUGCGCCCCGCGGCGGCAAGACGUGUGUGCGGUGCCGUGCUGCCACGUAUUGCUGCGGCGCUUGCCAGCUUGUGGACUGGCGUGAGCGGCACUCUGGCACCUGCAGUGGAGCCGCCGCGGCGGCGGCAGGGUCAGCAGGGACAGCGAAGGCAGCGCUGAAGAAGGCAUGAACUGACGAAGUGCAACAGCAGUAUGGACCCGAAGACUGCGCUUCAAAUGCGGCGUUUUGCGGUUUGUAUGAGAGUGAGAGUGCGAUGCAUGGCGUGGACUCUUGGGUCGUUUGCCACGCCGAGCGUGCAGCAAGAAGCGCUCAAAAAGCCCAAUUGGCUCUGCUUUGCAUUAGCGCAUUACGGUUGAUGACCGCUGACGCGGGUGGUCCGCGCCUUCAUCGGCCGGGAUUACAGAGCGGACUCCACACCGAAUGUAUGAGUGCCAGACCUGCGAUGCUAAUCUUACUUCGCCAAGGCUAGCCUCCUCGCUCCUUUGAGGCUUGAUACCGUAUCAAGGUUUUGGGCAGGAGUAGGGGCAUCAUGAGCGGCGGCGGGGUAACAGGGUGGGGUACAGGCUGCAGUGUUGUUCGGGUUUGGGCGCGUUCUAGGCAUGUGGCACCCGUAUGUGGCAGAGCAAUUUGACUGUCCCCAACAUGUUUAUGUGCCCGCCGAGAAUGCUAAGCUGACGGUCUGAACUUCGCGGUUUUUGUAGUUGCACGACUGUAUGUCAUUAGAGUUUCGGCCAUUGUCGCAGGUGCAGGCGCAGUGCAGUAGAAUGCAGGGGCGUGGGCGAGGAGGAGAGGGCUGACGGACAACUGGAGGCCGUGAUGCGGCGGUAGAUACGGUAGGUACAGGACUGGGAGGCGCACCAAAUGCAUGACUGACUUACCAGUGCACGGCUGAACGCGAUGGCUACAUGUGCGGACUGCGGACGGGCUUGGAACAUCAGCUUAUGAAUGAGGGACGGUGCACUGUUGCCGACGCAUUCGGCCUAUCACGGCAUGCACUCACAUGGCAUCAUCUCGCUCUACACCGCCAGUCUUUGGUGCCACGGCAAGAGGUGGGGCCCCGGUGGAUGGGUGUGCAGGAGGGCGGGGUGGUUUGGCGGUAGGGAUGGGAGUGCGGAAGUGGACGACAAGGUCAAGCUUGCAGGAGGUGUUGUUUGCGGUAACAGCUGGAUGGUGGCAUGUUUUGUCGUUGUAAUAUGGGACAAGCAGCAUGAGGAUGCGUUGUCGAGGAUCAAGUUCACGAGCAUGCCAUCAGGUGAGUUGAACAAGAAAGGCCGUUAGUAAGGGCGUGCUAUGGCUGCUGCAAGUUGUUUCGGGUUAAGGAGGAGGGUGGCAUCCCUGGCCACUGGCGAUCCACCGGGUCACCUGCGCAAGGUAGGCGGUGGCGAGCUCCUUGUUGUUGGGGGGGGGCGGGUGGCACAGCCGCACAGCCGGUUUGGUGGUUGGAUGACGGUGGCAGUGCCGGGCCAGUUCCUGAUACCUUCCGUACUCGUGAUGAGCCGUGUGUGACAUCCGUACUCGUGAUGUUCGGUGUUUGUGUCAUAGCCUUGGGCAAACCUAACUGAGCAUUUACGUGGUUUCGAGUCCAACUCGGACACCUGCAAUUCAUCUGUGAUCUGUCAGCUGAGAGCACGCACAUGACGGACGCGGGUCUGCUGCACGUGGCGUACGGCUGCCCCGCCCUGCACAGCCUGCGCUUCAGCGCCACGGGCAUCGCCGAUUGGGGCGUGCGCCGACCGGUGGUGCUGGCAGGGCCUCUGCCCGGUGUUCGCGUCGUGGUCGCAGCAGCAGGGGCAGAAGGCUGGAGGGGCGGCGUUAAGGCGGCAGGCGCUGUGGGUGCCGAGGCACGGGCGGCUUGCAACCAGAUGGCAGCGCGCUGUUGGUUGGGACGUUGGGUUGCACUUGGGGGUGCGCUGGGUGAUAACUUUGUUGCAGGAACGGUGGUAGGCGCCUGGCGUGCGGUAUCCCGCGAGCAGCGGGUGCGCCGCGACGCGUUGACCACUCAGCCUGGCUGCGCACGCUAUGGUCAACUCGGCAUGGGGCCGUUCGACAGAGGCCAGCACACAUGCCGACGUGUAUCCGCUGUCCCCUCCCAGCUGUCCCUUCCAGUAGUCCCUUCCAGUUGUCCCUUCCAGCUGUCCCACACCAACUGUCCCACCCCAGCUGUCCCUUCGGCUCCCUUCUCAAAACGCAGCUUUCAGCAAAAUCUACAGCCUGCCCGACUCCCAGCGUGUGCGACCUUCCGCCCGCCUUCCAAAACGCAACAGCCCCCGCCUCUCCUCGCCAGCCGCUCACAGCCGAAACUCUGCUUCUUUCUUUAUCAGCCACAAACAUCAGCCACAAACAAGGCCUCGGAAACAACGCCUCGGAAACUUCCUCCCAACUAGUGCGCGGCCACAGCUCCCCUACCGAACGUCGCAGCACCUAUCCUCACCAUCAGCAACGCUUCCUCACCUCCGGUUGUGUUGUUGGCGUGUUGCACCGCAUUCGGCCUGCCCGCCACAAUUGUCGUACACAUUCGGGCCCCUCUUCUGCUUUGCUUCGCCUUGUUCCUGCCCCUGUUUGUCACACUGUCGCCCGGCCAUUGUUUUGCUGCACGCCGUUGCAUUACGCUAGUGCUCGUCUACACAGCUCAUCCGUGGACGCCGGUCGACUGCCUGCAGGUGCGCAUCGGCUAUGCUAUCCGCGCGGUGUGGCGUCGCAUUGAGUCUGUGUGGUGCUAUCGCCUUGGCCGGGCGCCCGGAGCGUGAGGAAUGCGCGUCAGCAAAACAUCGACACAACCUGCCAGCUACCGUCGGUACAGUAACAGCGCGCGAACGACGCACCAAUGCCUUGUCCCUUCUUGCUACGCAUUUAUGUGGGCACGGGUGGGAGCCACACACAUCGGGACUACGCUUUCCUGCCCCUUGCCAUGUUCCAUCACAUGCCGACGUGUAGCAGUUUGGACUUUAUUAAUAGGUUGCACUGUUGACGUGAGCUCAAGCUUUCCGCUUAGAAGAGUAGUUGCUAGCAGUGCUAGUGAAGCUGCGUAUACUGUAACUUUCCUGAAGUCGUCAAUUUUUUCUACGCUGCAUACGCACCCUCAUGAUAAUCCUGGUUGUCAUAGAACAUGCCACCUAGACGGGCUCGAGUCCCUGCAACUCUCGAGAGCCGCAUCAAGCAAGGUCUGCAAUACUUUGCUGGCCUGCGCGAGGACGAGGCAGCAGAUGUUGCCCGUGCAAAGGACCUGGGCGAUGCACUCCUUGAAGCUGACAUGAACAUUAUCAGCAAUACCGGGAUUUUGAGCGGCAUCGUGGCUGCGCAUGCCUGGGCCGCGCGUGCGCUUGCCGUUGACGUUCUGAACGACUCGGCUUACGUCGCUUUUGUAGCGACCGCAACUAAUCUAGGAGAACUGCUCAGCAGCCAGCCGGGCGACCAAGCUUACGGCAGGCAGGACCGGUUGGUCCGAGCCCUGCUGAGGGCGGACACGCUCGCCGUGCACGCGAGGCUGUGUGUACGGACGCUCGCGCCCACCCGCGGGGCCGCCGCCCGCCGCAGCCUCCGGCCACCGGAUGCAAUCAAGCGGGAUCUGGUAUGGCGUGUCCUCCAGAACCUCUCCACGAUUGCCCGAUUUGUGAACAACAGCCGGGAUGCUGGCCUCAAGCACGAGCUGGUGACGGCGCUGGCGCACACGCAGCUGCUCGAGCACGCCGCGCGGGCGCUGCUAAGCGCCGCCCAGGCCAUUCAGCCCGCAUCCAGCGAAGGAACUUCAGGGGCGGCUGCAGCUUCGGGAACGGGGCUUCCACCUGAGAGCUGGAUAACCGUGUCGGGCGUAGCAACCACAUUUGCCCACGCGCUUUCGUGCCUGGUGGGCACAGACCUGCGCACUACCGCGCUGUGCCCACGACCCCGCGAACGGGACGCAUCUGUGGAGGUGUCGCAGAAUUCGAGGCAGCUACAACUGCUGGAGCAGCUGCGGCCGCUGCUGGCCAGCCGCUGCGUGCAGCUCUGCACGGGAUGGGCGGGCCUGUGUGCGGCCAUUACCGUACGGCAGCGGGCAGCGGACGACAGCGCUCAGCAGGGCUUGGUACCAACUGCGUCGCAGCUGUGGCACGGGCUGCCGUCGGAGCUGAUACGGCCGCUGCAGCUGCCGCCGCAGGCCACUGUGUCAAGCCAGGAUAUGGUGCGCACAGCGACCCUGGUACGUAUACGGUACUCGACCGCCGAUGCGCAAGAUGGGCUGCUGCGUUAGUUGACGGGGAGCUUGACGGGGAUAUAAGUGCAUGAACUGCAAUGCUCCCGGCGGGGCUCUCCGGUAUACAAUCUAGUGUUGGCAUUACAGGAACUUAGCGUUGACAUUAGCUCGCCAUUUGCUCGCCGCCUUGCAGGCACUGCCUAUGGUCCUGCAGGUGACGGUCAGCGGCCCCUGCGACCUGGCCAUCGCCCAGCCGCCCGUGGGCUACGACCGCCUGCCGCACAGGCAGCCACAGCCGCAGCGACCAUCGGCGGGGCCAUCAGCAGCGGGGUCAGCAGCAGCGGAGGGGCCGGCUGCAGCACCAGCACCAGCUUCGUACAGCGCCGUAAACGCGUACGGGCUGCUUAAGGCAUUAUGGCACUGCCUGGCCUGUGACCGCGCCACUUACACGUGCAACCUGUGCGCAGUCGCCACGGUAAUGACCCGGCUGCUGACGGAGCUGCGGCCGCGGCAGGCGGCGGUGCUGCUGCCGAGUUGGUGGCAGCUGCUGGCGCAGGAGCCGUCCAUGCUCAUUGAGGGGUACGGGCUUGCGCAGGACGCAGGGGAGCUGCUGCGGCUGCAGUUGAAUGCGCCGCCGCCGGUCGCGUGGGCUGUUGGGGUGACGGAUGCAGCUUCCGUGGCUGCGGCGAGUGUGGACUGGCCGCCGGAAGCGGCGGAGGUGCAGGACGCGGAGGCGGCGACAGCAGCGAAGGCAGCAGCCAGCCUGGCGCGUGAGAGGGACCCCAGCUACAGCCUCCGCUGCGCGCUGGACGCGGGGCUGCUGUCAGUUAUGGAACGGUGCCUUCGCGCGCCACAGGCCUGGCGGCAGUCCAACAGCGUGAGCAAGCUGCUGUACGUCGUAAACUGCGUGCUGCGCUACUCGGGCGUGUGGCCCGCGGUGCUGGCUCGCGGUCCCGUGCAGCAGGCGGUGUCGCUGAUUGCCACGCUGGGCGCAGCAGCUCGGCUGCUGCAGGAGAAGGACACGUCACUGGACGUGAUAAGCCGUGCCUCCCAGCCUGGCAUGCAAACAACGGCAAGGUGCGGCGCCGGCGGCUACCUGUGUGCCUACCUGUCCGCAAUGCUGGAGCAGGUCGUGGACGUGCGGGCGCUGGGCGAGGGCGCACAGCAGCAGCAGCAGCGGGAGGAGCAGCAGGCAGCAGCUAUCGAUGCUACGGCCACAGCCGCAAUUUCCACCCCACUGCACCUCAACUCGGUGCUGGAGCAGGUAGUGGAUUCGAAGGACGGCAGUGUCGAGCCCUCCACGUGCUCCAUCGCCUGGAUGGCGGCGGCGGGCGGCCUGCCAGCUGCCGGCUCCACAGCGUACCGGCAGCAGCAGCUGCUCACGAGCUUCGCGGUGUACCAGUGGCUGCCCAUGCUGGCAAAGGCAACGGAGGAUGCCUUGUGGAGUAGUGAGGCGGGCGCCGAGGGCUGGCUGUCGCAGGCGCUCCUGGUGGGGCACCUGGUGAUGGAUGUGCUCUGGCGCGAGGAGCGCCCGCCAGCUGAAGCCGACGAGGGCGCUGGCUCACACAACCGACGACAGGACGCGGCGUGGUGGGAGGGCGUGACGCAGACUGGCCAGCUUGCGAAGAGCAUGCACAAUAUUAUGGACGUGCUGGCAACAGACGCCGUAAGGCCGCUGCUGCUUGAGCACUGUGAACAGUGGCAGCAGGCAGCCGUGUUGGACCUGUUGCAAUCCUAUUGGACACGCUUUGCGGGGGCGGCGCGUGUCACGAUACGUGCGUGGGCGAUACGGGCGGCCGAACAACAGCAUCAGCGGACGGAUGGAAAGCAGCAGGCUGGGCAGGCGGCGGAGGGCGGGAAGGGCAGCAGCACGAGCAGCCUUGGCGACAGCACAGCACAGCAGCGGCAGGCGCCACCGCCCGAGCUAGUGCUGCAGUGCUUGACGCCGCUGCCGAUGCAGCAGCUGGCAGCGGUGCACGGGCGGCAGGACAUGGUGGAUUACCUGGACGCAGUAGCUAAGGGUUUGAGAGGGGAAAUGAUGAUUGAGUGCGGCAGUGCCGGCGCCGGCGGAAGCGGCAUGGGGGUGCAAGGGCCUGCCAGCAUGGAGGGCGGCGCGUCGCACG